UACGGGGGGGGCAAGCGUUGUUCGGAAUUACUGGGCGUAAAGGGUUCGUAGGUGGCCAACUCAGUCAGACGUGAAAUCCCCCGGCUUAACCUGGGAACUGCGUCUGAUACUGGAAGGCUCGAGUUUGGGAGAGGGAUGUGGAAUUCCAGGUGUAGCGGUGAAAUGCGUAGAUAUCUGGAGGAACACCGGUGGCGAAGGCGGCAUCCUGGACCAACACUGACGCUGAGGCGCGAAAGCUAGGGGAGCAAACGGG
rnacentral:rRNA from 1 species